AAAGACACAAAAGAUUUUUAAAGAAAGGAUUUUCGGUCCUAAACUGUACGUUAACGCAGAAAUAUGUCCCACAAGAAGUAACCUUCAAAUGGUACAUUUGCCAAUCUGAUAUCUGUGAUGAAGAUAUGAACGAGAGAAAAUAUAUUUUACCCAACUAUUCUUUAACAGUAAAGAUAGAGGGCAGGUAUCGCUGUACUGCCAACAAUAGCGGUGGAAUAGAUACGUCAUCAAUAAUAUCAGUUGUCAAAGAAUCCAAACAAACAGAGAAGACCCGAAAAGCAACCCUGGAGCCAGUUACACGAAGCCUGGAUAGCGUUAUACCGGACACUUAACCUGCAAAGACGCCUCAGUGGCGCUAGAUCAAGGGCUGGGGCUUUCCCCUUCUUCAGUGGAACCAGCUCCGAAGCCACGACAAAAAAACAGAUUUGGAAGAUAAUGAAAAAAAUAAGAAAAUUAGAAAAGUCACUGAAAGUUUCGAAGAUGGAGGCAGAAAUUCGAUUUUUCAAUGGAAGUAAAGUGGAAAAGAUUCCAAUGACUUAAUUUACUUUACGUAGUAAAAUUCCCAACACUAGAUUUAUCUACAAAACUAUCCUAACACUGCAAUAUAUAAGAGAUGGAAGUUUUAUGAAAAUUUUUUAAUAGCUUAUAAGCAUUAUCAUGCAAAAAUGAAAUUUAAAUAAUUGCGUGUGCGAUAGUUAAUUUAAUUUUAUGUUAUGAGCAACAAACCCAUAGAAGAUCUCAAUUUUACAUUGCACGUUCUAUCCUUUCCUUAAUCAAGUAGCAUUUGCAAAGCCAAUAACUCUCAAUGGCAAAAACUUUUUCCCUACCAAAAAUUUUAAUAAAUAUACAUAUUGUUGGUCA